GACGAACGCUGGCGGCGUGCUUAACACAUGCAAGUCGAACGCUGAAGCUCAGCUUUUGUUGGGUGGAUGAGUGGCGAACGGGUGAGUAACACGUGAGUAACCUGCCUCCUUCUUUGGGAUAACGCCCGGAAACGGGCGCUAAUACUGGAUAUUCACUGGUCUUCGCAUGGGGGUUGGUGGAAAGGGUUUUUCUGGUGGGGGAUGGGCUCGCGGCCUAUCAGCUUGUUGGUGGGGUGAUGGGCUACCAAGGCUUUGACGGGUAGCCGGCCUGAGAGGGUGACCGGUCACAUAGGGACGGGACAGCGGCCCAGACUCGUACGGGAGGCAGCAGUUGGGAAUAAUGGAGAAUGGGCGCAAGCCUAAUGCAGCGACGCCGCGGAAGGGAUGGGGGCCUUCGGGUUGUGAACCUCUGUCGGUCAAGGUCAAGCCGCAACAAUGGUUGUGGUGAGGGUAGUGGGUAAAGAAGCGCCGGCUAACUACGUG
rnacentral:rRNA from 1 species